GUCACUUACCUGAUGGUUCCCACAAGCCUUAGGCUUUACAGGGUCAUAUCAUUGACUUAAAAUGAAGAAUUAAAUUGUGUUACAUCUAUAGAAAGCAAAAUAACACACUCCAGAAUUUGCCGUUGUAGCAUUAGUUAUACAGUUUUGGGUGUUCUCACCACCCAUGGGAUGCCUGCUUCUCACUACAACCUGUUGUCUGGACACAUGCUUAUGUCUUGUUCUCCUUUUGGCAUGUAGAAAGCUGUUAAUACAGUUUAAGGCCAAAUUGUGUGUGGCUUCUAUAUGUAGAUAAGGUGUUUUGGCAUUCUUGUCCAUUUCAUUUAUUUUUAAGUGUAUAAAAAAUAGCCUGUUAAUUGUUUGUUGAAGGCUACUUUUCUGUUUUUUAUUUUUAUUUUUUCUAUCCUAUACAUUUAGUUGAAUUUUGUGGAAGUGUGGUGUUGGUUUUGUUUAUAUGGUCAGAUUUUUUUCCCCCUUUUUGUGAUGGUCUUCCUUGUUUCUUUGAAUGUACUCUAAUUUGUUUUUUCUCUUUGUUCUCAUAUAUCCUUCCCUCCACCUCCAAACCUUUCUUUCUUUCUCUCUCUGAUUGAGAGGCAUUGAAUUAUGUUUUCAGUAGUACAGGCUUCUUGCCGAUAUGAAGGGAACUUUUCAGAAAGAGACCUACUCUGGGUCAUUUAAUUUUGAAUACAGUUUUCAAUCGUUCAAGUUUUGGAUGGUUUAUAUCUAAUGUGUGUUUCAUUUUUUUGGAAAGCUAUAUUUUGUAUUUAGGAAAUGGUAUACUAUUUUGCUAUUUGUACUGAGUGAGUACAUUGGCAUAAAUAUAGAAAUUUAUAUAUAUACAUAUAUAUAAACUAUUCUUUUUUUGCCACACAUUUUUGUGGUAAAUUUGUGAGUUUGUCUGAUGUUCUACCACAUCGUGGCGUCUGAUAUCAGUGAGGGGGGGUUUGUUAUGUCUUUAUUGAGUAUUUAAGUAUCUUUUGAAAUAAAUGACCUGUUCAUCUGUGGCCAUUCCAUCAGGCAGUUCCUUGAUGUGAUUAGUGGGCUAAAGGCAGCUUACUUUGUGUUCGCUGGAUCUUUCACUCAGCAAAAUGUUAGAGUAAGGAAACCCAUUUAGGCAGUUGUGUCAAAUGGUGUUUCACAAGAAUGAGCCAUUCAGUCUUUGCUCACUAUAUAUUUAAUAUUUUAUUAUUGUUAUUGCUAUUAUUAAUUGGCUUUCUGUAUUCUAUGCCUUUUAUUUAUAAAGACACUAAAAAAACCAUGUUUGUAAUUUUAAUAACAUUUUCCCCAUCUUGUAAGAUCCAGAGCUACUUUAUAAAUUCUCUAAACCAAAAGCAUUUUCCUCCCCACCCCAUCAGGAAAAAUUACCCAAUAUAGUUCAGGUUAUAAGAAGGACCAGCCACACAAUCCAGUGCUUCAGUUUUAAAAUUUAAAACUUUCACUACAGAGGGUCGACUAAGGUCAGAAAGCUUAUCCACUGGUAUAAAAAUAAGAAGUAGAAAUAAAAUGUUGUAAGUUUAUUUCUGAGUUUUCUGAAUUUUUUCCCAAGAGAUUUCGCAGGAGACUCAGAAAGCCUGUUUGUUCAUCAAGUUCCAGCUAGACGUUAACACUGCUUUACAGAUGAAGUGGUGGCAAGAAGACUGGCUUGUGUGCUGACUUCUGUUCUGUUGUUUAGCAAGAGGUUUAUCACUGUAAGAUGCUGAUUGCCAAUGCCAAGUCACCAGGGACCAAUUUUCUGUUUUAUAAUAUCUAAGUUUAGAACAGAACAUGCAACCUGAACUGUAGUGGUUUGAUUGGAUGGAGGCAAAAAAAACCAAGUUUUUAUUUUCGUAAAUUUUGUGGUUAUUUAUACAAGGGCUGUGCUGAGAUACCGUAUUCUUAUUCAACACUGAUGGAUUUUUUUUUUAAUCAUUGUUAAAUGUUCCUUACCCCAAAAGGUCAAUGUUAAGUACAGCAUUCAAAAUAUGCUAUUUGGUUACAGAAAGUAUUCAUCUUCUUACUGAAGAGUGAGUUAGCUCAGUAGUCAGUGGUUGAUAGUUGUGCUAAUGCAGUUUCCACAUUACUGUUAACAAGUUAUAGCUAUAUACAGGAAAGACUCCAUGAGCCGGCCAGGCCUUGGAAACAACAUAUUAAAUUUACUUAUGGCAGAUGGACCUAAAUAAACCAUGAACCACAUUUUAUUCCUUUAUGUUUUUGCAUUCAGUUGUUCUUGGUUUUAGCAGCUCACAUGCUUGGAGCUUAUCUGUGUGUCUCUUUUAAGUGUGUGUGCACACACAUGCGUGUGGUUUAUUGCUUAUUGUCAUUCCAUUAUAUAUCUGUACCAAUAGGGAGAAGAUAAUUAGAAUUAAUAUUCUGCUUCCGAGCUUUAUCAUGUUACCUUUGUGAUUAGAGUAUGAUGUUGUUACUUAACUGACGCAAGUCUGUUUUCGCCAGUCUUUCUAGAACAAGGUUUUAAAGGGCUUUGUUUAUUAUAGAAGCAGUAUUAAUAAGGGACCUUCCUUUCUUUUUUUGUAAUAUUGUUUAUGCGAUAGUUGGGAAUUUCAUUAUAGUCCUUUUCUUGCCCAUUAGAACAUCAGUUAAUCUGCCCAGGGAAAAUUGUGUCAAAGGAAAUAAGAAAGAAGUUUUAUCUGAGUCCCCCUACAACUAAGAUAAUUCCUUUUGACCAUUUAAGCCAUUAUAAAUGCUUGUCUUGGAAAAGUGAAGUCUGUUUAGAAGCAUCAACAAUUAUAGACCAGGAGUUCCCGUUGUGGUGCAGCGGAAACGAAUCUGACUAGGAAACAUGAGGUUGUGAGUUUGAUCCCUGGCCUCACUCAGUGGGUUAAGGAUCUGGCGUUGCCGUGAGCUGUGGUGUAGGUUGCAGACGAGGCUCGGAUCUGGCAUUGCUGUGGCUAUGGUGUAGGCCUGUGGCUACAGCUCCGAUUAGACCCCUAGCCUGAGAACCUCCAUAUGCUUCAGGUGAGGCCCUAAAAAGACAAAAAAAGACAAAAAACAAAAAACAAAAAAAAACUAUAGACCAGAAUUAAGUACUUUAACAAUCCAAGUCUCAAAUAUUCAACAUGGUUUAUAAAUAUUCAUCCAAGUAACUUGAGAAUUUAUCUUUCUGGUGAGAAUUUCUUUUCUAAUAUCUUUAGUUGAUUUUUUUCUAAUUAAUUGAAAACUAUAUGAGACCUAUUAGCUUUACUCUGCCUCAUGACCACUGACUUCAUCUCUAACCGAGACAGCCCGUUAUAUCUGCAAGCCUUUAGUUAUAUGGAGGGACUUAAUGAAAGAGAAACUGUAGUUCACCAGCUUUGUUAGAGAAAUAACUCAGAAUAUACAGCCUAGCAAAUGAGUUAGUAGAAUCUCAUAAAACAUAUUAAAAAGGGUUUUUUUCUGUAUUUGGGUCACUAGACCAAGUCAUGAGGAUAAUGUUCAUAAUGUAGUGAAUAUCAGAAUAAUACUUAGAAUAUCAUUUCUGAAUUGUCUCAGUACUCUAAUUUUUUAAUCCCCGUUUAUUUUCAUGUCAUUCUAGCCUCAUUAAUAAAAUUCUAUUUUUACUCCACUAUCUCUUUCAGAAAAUUUUAAAAAAUCAUUUUGUGUCUAGAUUAAAUGCUUAUGGAAAAGUGCCUUUUUACCAUGAUUAUGUUCCUUUCUUAGAGUUUUAUUUUUCACUGUUGCCAAAAACACAGAGACAAAUGACUUUAAUCGUCCCAACUUUCAUUUUUUCUAUUUAGUCAUUCUUGUCUCCAUUUCAUGAUUACCAUAGAAAACAACUUCAUAACUUCCUAACUCCCUUUGACAUAAGAGGAACAGAAAAGACACAUAACUAGGGAGUUCCCGUUGUGGCGAAGCAGAAGCGAAUCCAACUAGGAACCAUGAGGUUGCAGGUUCGAUCCCUGGCCUCACUCAGUGGGUUAAGGAUCCAUCCGUGAGCUGGGGUGUAGGUCAAAAACGUAGCUCGAAUCCUGCGUUGCUAUAGCUGUGGUGUAGGCCGUAGCUGUAGCUCUGAUUCAACCCCUAGCCUGGGAACCUCCAUGUGCCACAGGUGCAGCCGUAAAAAGAC
rnacentral:lncRNA from 1 species